rnacentral:lncRNA from 1 species
ACUGCUAAAAAAAACCAGAAGAAAAAGUAGUGUGUGUGUGUGGUUCGUUCGUGUCUCCUGGCUAGUAAGUACCGAGGGCUUCAUCUAUCUAAAAGGAGUCAUUUCCAUCUGAAUGUGGCAGCACCGGGACACAGCAGCAGAGCGGUAAGCUUCAUAUCACUCUAAAAUGUCGACAAACUUUACUUUAGAUUUACGGGCAUUAGCAGCACUAAAGCGUUAGCAUCCGGCUUGCUAUCGCUAGCACAGUAUGCUAGUAAAGUUAGCACCCAGAUUAAUGUGGAUUUGGCUGAUUUUCGUGGAAUAAAACGUGAUUUCUGAUCAACGCCUUCUUUUACACCAGAUGUACAUCCACUGAUUGUAGCAGCAGAGAGCCUGUGUGUUAUUUUACGUGAGUGUGAUGUAAUCUUAGCAUCCAGUAAAUAAAGUCCCAUAUCAGCUAAAAUGCAGCGUGACAAAGUCAUUAAAGUGCGUCAACACAGUGGAUUUAAUAGAGUUUUAAAGAACGAUCUCUAAGUGAAGUGAGGUUAGUUUUUUGUCUCACUGCAGAUAUAAAAACUAACUCUGCAUCAGUCAGACGCAGCAAAGCUCACCGUCUGUAUGAGCGUGAGCGUCGGAAAGCUGAUAAAAUUGGCUGUAAAAUAAUUAAAACAAAGUAAAAAUGUUCCUUUGCUUUUUAGAGUCCACAUCCAGAAGACUGGAGCCGUGUUUCACUGACAGGCUGUCAGACUAACGCCCUGAUGAGCUCAGCUGGGACAAACUGGUCUGAUGUUUAGGUAAGUGAAGAUCUGCUUCUCCAAGUCCUUGAGAUGCUAGUAAAAAAUAAUUUAGCCAGCUUGCUAAUGUUACUUUUCUUCUCCUCUAAGGAACACAGAACGUUCAGAUGUUGGAGCUUCACGUCACCUACUGAGGAAGGAGACCCACCAGUAAAGAGACGGUCUGGACCAGACCAAAAAUAUGGCGAUGACAUCAUGGAACUGGUCUUUGGAAAAGUUUUCCCUGAACCAACUCCGUUUCUAGAUGAGGUAGAGAAGAUCUGCAUCUCACCAACCCUCUGGUCUCAGUAUUCAGACAACGGAGGUCUCCCACUGUUAUCCAGGACCAGUUUGAAGCCCACAUACUGCCCCUCCCUCAUCAUCAGGAAACAUCAAUCCGUAUCCUGAGGACAACAGAAGACGGCAGGAGGACAGGAACUCUGAGACCUAGACACCACCAGCACCGAGACACAAAGCACCUGUGUGCACAACGCCUGUUUAACUACUAAAGCCUGUUUAUUAUAUUGUUCUACUUAUUUGCUGUGAGGUUAAUACUUAGAAAAUUUGUAUAUUAAUGUAAACAAUAAAAAAAAUCACUGAUUGUAUGCUUUCUUUUAGAUGUAAUGGUCCAAACUCAGCCUUGUAGACAUUUAUUGCAUCCUGUAGGUAAAUACACAGAACAGGCUCAGAUCCAGGAUGACCCAGCAUGCUCUUCUUCCAUUCUGGCUGUUAGGGAUUGUAUCAAUAACUCAAUGCCUACUGAUGUUUUCACCUAACGGUAUUUAUUUAGAAUGCAGGUAAGAUUUAACUAUAUUUGUUAGCAAAGCAGACUGAUCUUGGGAAUUUCACUGCAGCACUGAUGUCCACCUCUCUGUACACAUUAGAGAGAAUUACCACUUUACAGCUAAACACAUUUAAUAAAGAUAUAGGCUACGCAUUGCAGACAAUAAAAACAAAGUUGUAAGCAUUAGAAUUAUAAUGAUGACAUUAAAGAACAUUUGGAGGAAUGUUCUUUAUUUUUGACUAGAAUCUCAAAUCUUUAAAUUAAAAUGUAACUGCUUUUUAUCCAUUUUCAGCCAUUAAGACACCCAAUAUAAAAUAAGACUACUUAUAAAAUUAUUUAUAAUUAUAUGUAUGUAUAUAGAUAGAGAUCUUAAUAAAAUAUAUUCUUUGAAUGGUGUUUUAAUGAGCUGUAUCAUUUUUUUAAACAUUUUUUACAGAAAUAAGCAAGCAGCAUUCCUUGUGUGUGUGUGUGUGUGUGUGCGCGCGCGCGUGUGCCUGCUCGCUUGUCCCUCCGUCGGCCGUGACGGGUGUGUGUGAGUGACUACAGACAAAUGCAUGAGAGAGUUAGCAGCCAUGAAACAGCUUGAUGAACUACUCUCCCCACGUGUUUUAAAAAUGCUAAUAUGCUAUGCUAAAUCUGCUAUGCUAAAUAAUGAUUUCUCUAUAGAACUACAAAGUCCGACUGGGGGAGGAGAGUACAGGACUGCACUAUGGAGGGGGGCGGAGUUUACAGCUCCUCCUCCAGUUUAAAGAGACAGUACCCAAAAACGGCUCGUUCUCAAGACUCUCCUCAGAACAGGGGUAGAUGAGGGUCUGUAGAGCAACAAUAAUGAGGAAAUCAGACCAAAGAACUGCAGUUCCACUGUAUUUAGACCCCCAACUGAAGGAUUUAGAUGUAAAAAGGAAUAACUUAAAAGCAUGUUAUGUCUCCUUUAAAUAUAUGUGGGAGGAAAAAACAAAAAACCUCAGUCUCUGAUCUUUUUUAAACUAAUAAUAAAAACUAAACCAAUGGGUCACUUAGCGAUAAGCUGUGAUGGAGUUUUAUGGCUGUAUUUCUGAACUCGGCCAACUCUUCAUCAAAGGUUUGAAUAUUUUAUAAAAAUGCUAAAAAUCAUAGCUCUUGAAUUUUUCUAACACAUUUUGUUACAUCGUACAAAAUAAUGGUGUUCUGAUCCUUGUGAAAUGAGCAAAAUCACCCAAAAGAAAAUGUUCACCCUUCCUACACACAUAAUGUGGUAUAAAAAAGAUUUCUCUACAUGCCCCAUAAAAUGAUUUUAUUUUCUGUGCUGGAAUUAUUUUUAAACAACUGAACAAAACAAAAUUAUUGUAACUGCUUGGCAUCAAGGACGUUAUUGAAAUGAGAAUUAGGGACAAAAGUAAGUCUUUUAAUCGACAACAGGUCCUUUAAUUAGGAAAUAAUGUGUAUGGAGUGUAUUUGAUGCCUGUAAUCAACACAAUGGUCUCUUAGAUUUUAAAAUGAUCAUAAUCAAAACGAAAGACAAUAAUUUCCCAAAUGCAAUUAUUUUAUUGUAACAUCUGAAGGAGGGUAACACUCGGAUCCAGACCUAACUAAAUGUAUUCAACCUUAUUUGACACCAAAUAUUUAUUUAUUUUAUUUGAUCACUUUUUGCCAUUAAGACUUUGUAUUUUUGUUUCAUUCAUUCCGUUGGUUAUUGCAGCGGUGUGUGUAAUAAAUCUGACAUGUCACCUGACCUAACUCAUUAAUUAAGCUGCAGUAUAUUCAGUCAGGACAUCUGUGCUUGCAUUCAGUAAAUAUGUCUUCAGUAGUUCCAUUCUGUUGAGUGCUCUGCCUUUAUUAUGAAUGACAAUAGGUAAAUUACAGGUCAAGGCUGAUGUCAACGCUGACCACGCCCACUGAUUGUGUGUCCAUUCCAACCUGCCACCAAGUUAAAAUGUCCGUCCUGCUUGUAGAAGCAGCGGAGAUACUACCUGUGUGUGCCUGCCUUCACAAAUUAUUCAGCACAGCAGAACCAUGGGAUGUUGAAGUGUCAGGAUAGCUGCAAAUUCAAACAAGCUACUUCUUUUAUUUUUUUCUUCCACAAGCCUUUUUUCACUUUGACCUUGGCUGACUACAGUUAUGAAAAAAUCUCAGGUGUUUGAAGGAUGCACAGUUUCAAAGCACAUGCACUGAAAUUAAUGAGAAUACUUGUUACGUCUGAUUGUUGUUCCAGGCAUAAGCUGCCAAAAAGUGUGUGUGUGUGUGUGUGUGUGUGUGUGUGUGUGUGUGUGUGUGUGUGUGUGUGUGUAUGUGUGUGUGUGUGUGUGUGUGUGGG